rnacentral:rRNA from 1 species
GAUGAACGCUAGCGGGAGGCUUAACACAUGCAAGUCGAGGGGCAGCAUAGAGUAGCAAUACUUUGAUGGCGACCGGCGCACGGGUGAGUAACGCGUAUGUAACCUACCCUGUACAGGGGGAUAGCCCGGAGAAAUUCGGAUUAAUACCCCAUAAUGAUAUCGAGAGGCAUCUUUUGAUAUUUAAAGCUUCGGCGGUACGGGAUGGGCAUGCGUGACAUUAGCUAGUUGGUAAGGUAACGGCUUACCAAGGCUGCGAUGUCUAGGGGUCCUGAGAGGGUGAUCCCCCACACUGGUACUGAGACACGGACCAGACUCCUACGGGAGGCAGCAGUGAGGAAUAUUGGUCAAUGGGCGUAAGCCUGAACCAGCCAUCCCGCGUGAAGGAAGAAGGCGCUAUGCGUCGUAAACUUCUUUUCAGGGGAAUAAAAUUUUGUACGGGUACAGGACUGAAGGUACCCUGGGAAUAAGCAUCGGCUAACUCCGUGCCAGCCGCCGCCGUAAGAC